UGCAAUAGCAGCUGGGGUACCUCAGUUGGCAGAGCAUGAGACUCUUAAUCUCAAGGUCAUGGGUUUGAGCUCCUACAUUGCAG